CACGUAGGCACCAAGCGUUGUCCGGAUUUAUUGGGCGUAAAGAGCUCGUAGGCGGUUGAGUAAGUCGGGUGUGAAAACUCUGGGCUUAACCCAGAGCCGCCACCCGAUACUGCUCUGACUUGAGUUCGGUAGGGGAGCAGGGAAUUCCUAGUGUAGCGGUGAAAUGCGCAAAUAUUAGGAGGAACACCGGUGGCGAAGGCGCUGCUCUGGGCCGAAACUGACGCUGAGGAGCGAAAGCGUGGGUAGCAAACAGG
rnacentral:rRNA from 1 species